AAGCAGCCACAGAUGACUGCCUGCCACUGCAUCCGCGCGCUGGCCCCCUGGUUAAAAAGCUUGAGGACCCCUGCCAUAAAUCCACACACUAGCUUAUCCUAAUACCCUGCUCAAGUAACCCAGCCCAAGUUUACUUCUUUCAGCUGGGCAUCCAGCUCCAGUAAUAAGUUUGUAAUCCCAGCAAAGCCCAGCUGCUGCAGAUCUCGCUGCUGAGGAGCCCCACCACAAACUCCGGCUGGUUCAGUGGGCAUCAACCCCAUUAUCGGGGGCUUCUCACACCGUGAUGUGAUUUCUAGAUAAAAUUCACUUUGAGACAUGUUUCCAUCACUGAGCAAACUAAAUCCAGGUUCUACAAAUAUACCAGAUCUUAUCAGGGCCAUUUUCUUUAUCAUUCUGUUACAAACUGGCUCAAGUGUAUGGACUUCUGGAGCAUGAGGCCACAUCCAACUACAUCUUAGAAAGAAGCUAAAAAAUAAAGGAGAGGCAGCUGUUUCUGCAGUAUUCAUGAGGUAAUAAUAGUAACAAUAAGGGGAAGCAAAAUAGAGCAGUUUCAUUGUGAUACUUUUGAAAAAGUAAGGAUUCAAUUGAAUAUAAGACGAUCAUUGAUUUUAGGCACUUUGACGGACUAACGUUUGAUUCUAACAGUCAUUUUCUGAGAAGAGCAGAAAGACAACUGUGUCAAGAGGAAAAAACCCUCAGUUUGUAUAGAGAGGUGCUGCUGAGUAGCACUGCCAGAGUCCUUUAUUUAAAUAAGAAUAAUUAUAUUGCACAGGAAACUUGGAUUUGAAAGCAGUUCCUCUGACAGUUACUCCUGAAAAGGAAUGUACCUGCUGCGUUCACCAAAGUGUGAAGGCUGGUCUGGUAUCACAGGAUCAUCUGCAUUACGGCUAAAAUUAAAGCAAAGGGAGAGGAAACAAACAAGAAAGAACAUAAAACUCCCAAAUGCCAAGUCCAAAAAAAGAGUUCUUUCCACCAAGAAGUGGUGAAACAUCUUUUGGAGUGACUAUCUGAUGUGGGUGGCGGUGAGAGGCAAGUAAGACAAUAGUUAUGCUGCACUUGGUUUCCACUUGAAAAGGAAUCCCUGCUGGCUCCCGGCGGUACAGUGUCCCCUCGCUGCUCUGCGCCUUCUGCUCUCCACUGGGUUUCCACUGUACCCAGCGAGCUCUUAGGAAAACUUUUCCUGUGGACAGCAUUCACUGCGAAAGGCUGGAAAACUUCUCUGGCCAAGUAAUUGUAGGCAGAGAGCUGCUUCUGCUGCUGAAAUGGGGCCUGUCAGCAGCCAGCCUGGAAUGCAGCCUGCCUUCUCCAGCGCCUCCUUGACCUUAAAACGUUGGAUGAAGCAGGUGAAACCCUGCCUGCAUGAAAGCUGGAUCCUUUCCAGGAAGUUUUAGGCCACUCUACCUUCCACAUAAAGCAAAUCCAUAAUUAAUUAAAUGAUGCUUAAAAUGCUCAGACUGUUGUGGUUUCCUGAUUUCGUUAUGAAAACGAAGAUCAUCUGGUCAGUCGCGCCGGCAGUGACUCUCACACAGGCUUUCGUAAGGUUGCAAGGAGCUUCUCUGUGUGGUCAAGAGCAGCGUGGCUCUUAACUUGGACUCCUCCUAAGGAAGGCCAGCAGAAUCGAGCGGGUGAAGCCAAAAGCCUCUGCACACAGAUUAAAACAGGAUUGGCUAAUACUUCUCAUAAGUAGCCAGAGGACAUCUUCCCCCUAAAGCUUCUCUAAGCAGUAGAGGAUUCGUAUUAAUGUGCAGGUGUAGCAGUGGGGAAAGGUGUUUGAUUACUGCAGAACAGGUCACUACUUACAAAUCAUAUCCUUGCCUUUUGGGCAGCACGCUCAAUCUGUAUCGGCAAGAGGCAUCAAUUAAUUGCAACUAAUAGGCCUAAAUGAUCUGUUAAAGCGCUGCGAUGGUGCAAGGACUGAAAUGUGCUCCUCAGUCACGUGACGGUAGAAAAACACAGGUCAUUGCUAAAAUGAAAGGAUGAAAAGAGGGACAAGAUGCUUUCAAAAACCAGCCACCCUCAGACAAAGGCGUGGAAGCUGGCAGGGGGCAUGGGGUUCCCACGGUGCACAUAUGCUUAGAAGAGAAGCUCAGGUGAAAGGCAGAGCAAGAAGGAUCUGGCUGCCUGAGGGCAGGAAUAGAGAUGUACAGCACCUCACCGUGUGCCCCGGCUUGAAGGAGGAGGAGGUCAUCCUGGGCAUCUCCACAGGCAGCUGGGCUGGGAAGGCCCCACAAGAGGCAGUCCUGCCUAGAAGAUGGAUGUUGUUGCCCUCUGGCAAAGCCUUGAUUGCUCUUUUUCCAUUUGCUUAUACAAGAAGCCUGGGGCUGAAUGCAAAAGGCCUGAAUGCUGUGUGGUAAAAGCGUGCUUGCAUUCUGCCUGCAUGGGGAAAAGGACAUUCAGAAGAAAACUCUGGCCACUGUUUAGGCAGCCCAUGUAGAUACUGUGCUACAUCUGGCCAACAGAGUGGCUACAGGCAAGAAACCGCAGAGUUGGCUGACAAUUUGAUGUAAUUGGGUUUCAUUUACCUUAUAGGCUCUCUGUAUAGAAUAAAUCAUAGAAUAGUUUGGGUUGGAGAGGACCUUUAAGGCCAUCUAGUCCAACCGCCCUACAAUGAGCAGGGACAUCUUGAACUAGGUUGUGUUGCCCAGAGCCCCGUCUAACCUGACCUUGAAUGUUUCCAGGGAUGGGGCAUCUACUACCACUCUGGGAAACCUCUUCAGUGUUUCACCACCUCAUUGUAAAUAAUUUCUUCCUUAUAUCUAGUCUAAAUCUACCUUCUUUUAGUUUAAAACCAUUACUCCUUGUCUUAUUACAACAGGCCCUACUAAAAAGUCAGUCCCCAUCCUUCUUAGAAACCCCCUGUAGGUACUGGAAGGUGCUAUAAGGUCUCCCUGGAGCCUUCUCUUCUCCAGGCUGAACAACCCCAGCUCUCUCAGCCUGUCUUCAUAGGAGAGGUGCUCCAGCCCUCUGAUCAUCUUCGUGGCCCUCCUCUGGACUUGUUCCAAGAGGUCCAUGUCCUUCUUAUGUUGGGGGCCCCAGAGCUGAACACAGUGCUCUAGAUGGGGUCUCACCAGAGUAGACGGGGACAGUCACCUCCCUCAACUUGCUGGCCAUGCUUCUUUUGAGGCAGCUCAGGAUACGGUUGGCUUUCUGAGCUGCAGGCACACAUUGCUGGCUCAUAUCCAGCUUGUCGUCCACCAGCACUCCCAGUCCUUCUCCGCCAGACUGUUCUCAAUGUCUUCAGCACCCAGCGUGUAUUGACACUGGGGGUUGACUGAACAAAGGUGCAGGACCUUGCACUUGGCCUUGUUCAGCCUUAUGUGGUUCACAUGGGCCCACCUUUCAAGCUUGUCAAGGUCUCUCUGAAUGGCACCCUGUCCCUCAGGCGCAUUAACUGUACCACUCAGCUUGGUGUCAUCUUCAAAGUUGCUGAAGGUGCAAAUGAUCCCACUGACUGUGUCCCUGAUGAAGAUAUUAAACAGCACUGGUGCCAGUAUGGACCACUGAGGGACACCACUCAUCACUGAUCUCCAUCCGGACAUUGAGCUGUUGACCACUUCUCUCUGGGUGUGACCAUCCAGCCAAUUCCUUAUCUAUUGAUCAGUUCAUCCAUCAGAUCCAAUCUCUCCAAUUUAGAGACAAGGAUGUUUCGGAGGAUUGUGUCAAAGGUCUUACAGAAGUCCUGAUAGAUGACAUCAGUAGCUCUUCCCUUGGCCACUGAUCUAGUCACUCCAUCAUAGAAGGUUACUAGGUUGGUUAGGCAAGACUUGCCCUUGGUGAAGCCAUGCUGUCACCUCCUUGUCCUCCAUGUGCCUUAGCAUAGCUUUUAGGAGGAUCGGUAUGUUGCUACAACUAUUUUUUAGAUUGUACUUCAUAAAGCAGAAUAUUUUAAAUGCCUUGCUGCAGAGUAAGCUCUGUACGAGUAAGAGGAACUGAUCUAGAUGACGUAUGAGCAUAUCUGAAAUGUGUGUUUAAAGGUGAAGCGAACUUGAAAUCUAAGUAGUCUGGCCCAUAAAAGCUACAAAGUAUGAGUGAUCACUCUAACAACUAAGUUGGGGAGAAAACCACUAAAGAGAAAUCCCCAUACAUAUCUGCAACUGCAAAUAAAACUGUACUUGAAGAAGUUCAGCCUCUGCCAUCAUCCAGUUAAAAGGAAAUAAAAUGAAAAGUCCACAGGCCACAGGAGGAGUAGCCAGUGUGCUUCUACUGUCGCCCAUAAGCACUUAGCAUGGACUCUUUGAGACAACGGCUGAGGAAUGGGCAGGGCCAUCAGCCCAGGGCUUCUCCAGUGAUUGGUCUUGGAAAGUUCACUCUCAUGGAGGAGGGAACUGGUUCUCUAUUAGAAGAGUUCAGCCUCAUUUAUUUCCUCUAGAAUGGGUAUAAAGGAAUUACUUUUAAGGUCAAUAGAGAGGGAGAAUGCUUUCUAUCACACCCUGUAGUUAGAAAACCUACCGGAACCUGCUCAGGGCUGACCACUUUUUUUCCAUGUGAGUCCUCCUUUACUUGUACUUGCUUACAUGGCUCAUCUUUUGAGCACAUUCGGUUUGAGGAAGGACACAAAACUGGACUCGCCUUUCACCAUUUAUCUUAAACCUGGAAAUGAAUCUGUAGGCUCUACCUAACGCCUGUCCAAGAACAGCUUGUUAUCAAGGCUUGCAGACAGAGAAAUUAAAGCAAUGUUACUACAUUGGAUGGAGCAGGGUACAGUUGUUGCACAUGAAUGAUUUGCAUACAGGGACAGUCCAUUCCACUGCAAUUGCAUUCAGACUAAGUUAUAUGGACAUCACACCUUCAUUGGCAUAAUAAUAAUUGAACAAAGCCCAUGUGAAGAUAAGCCUGAAGACAUUAUAUUACAUGCCAAAGGGUUACCAUAUUUCUUCAUUCCUUCCUAUAACGUGGUAAGAGAUAAGAACGUCUUGAAUUCACCUAUAAAAUUUGUGUUGACAGUUUUAAUUACUUUCUCAAGAAUUUUAUGAGCUGCUCUUUGCCUCCAUGAGUACAUGGGCACGUCAGGUGACAUGAAAAACAUUUGUAGGCAUCAUGGUAGGAGAAAAAAAAGCUUCAAUAUGCGAGCUGAAUGUACUCCGAAUACCUACAGAGAAGAACAAGGGUUUUAACUAUCAGAUUAUUUAAGCCAAUGUCAUGAUUUUGUGAUUUCUUGUCCAUGAUGGUCUUUUAAAAUCCAUCAAAAUUAUUGUUAAGAUUGACAGGCCCUUGUGAAAACAGGUGGGAUACAUGGACUGAACUCAUCUGGGUGUUAGUAUCUGAGACACCUGCAUGGGGCUGGCAGACUUAAGAGACCCUUCCAGACCUGUGCUCGUCCACAGCAGCAGCUUUAGGCCACGUGGGUACCCUGCAGUGUCUGAAAUGAUACACAACAGCUACAGAGAAAAGGUCAGAUCCCACCCUAACAGCUUUCCAAGGGUGACAAACUUGCUUGCUCGCAGUCCUGAGCUGUGCUGUCAGCUACCAGCUUCAGCAUCUCUGAGGGUGCUCUGCUGGCAUUCAGUGUGGGGACUGCAACCAUAAAACAGGCACAUAAAAGGAUUUCCUCCGUCUGCCCCUCUGUGGAAGGAGAGGCAUUCAUGGCAAAUGCAAACUGGGGCUGAGCGUAGGCACGCACCUGCACGGCCACCCCUGGGGGCUGUUCCUACCGGGUGAACCUUACAUCAUUGUGGUCACCCCUGUCACCACCACAUCCCAGCACCUGUUUGGUGAUCCUCUGAAGAACCACUCGCCACACGGGCUACACCCCAACUGUUUUGUGGCAAUUAGGCUAAGGAGGACACUCACCGGAAUUUGUAUUCCUUAAAAGUAGUAUCCAAAUCCAGCUCUUUGAAGAUGAGAGGAGCAGGGCGUCUUUCCUGUAGUGAUUUUCCUAAAUCAUAAAGCCAAGUGUAUUUUCCUCACUCUGUAAGAAGCUUUGGUAGAAAUAAUGCAACUGCAACACAACGUUGCAUAAGCAGCUUGCAGCCGUAUCCUCCCUCCACAUUUCUUAGUGGGUUUUUUUCCCCUGCUGCAGCAAAAGGUAUUUUCAUUUAACUAAAUGUGUAGUUUAUUUUCUACAAUUUCCAUGGUUUCUACAAUUACGAAUUAGAAGAGUAAGAAUUUAGAAGACAUUUCUGUAAUUUAUUAAUUCACAGAUUAUCUAACUAUGUACUACCACUUUCUGCUGUAAUACAUUACAUACCAGCAAUAAUAACUGCUGUAAUGCAACAGCGGAGAUGGCAUUGCCCUCGCACCCCCACUCCAGCAAUAAAAAUCAUCUUGACCCAUGCAAAAAGCCUCCAGAACUGUCAAUUAUCUGACCUUAAAAAGGCAGGUUACUCAAUAAAAGGCUUGGCUAGAGAUACGAUUGCAGACGUAAAAAGCAUGGUAUGCAUAUGAUCAGAUGCCAAGGAAGGUUUUCAGCAAUUCCAGGCAGGGCAUUUUUGGGGGGUCCCAUGAAUUCAUGCAAUAAAUGCCACUCAGUGCCCACACUGUCGAGCAGCCUUGCCCACAAGUCCUUUUUUUCCGUCAUCACCCACAGUACAGAAAUGUUGGGUGGUUCCUAGGCUUUCUUCUGGAGUGAAACAACUCUUCCUGAAACAAAACCCAGCUGCUGUUUUAGUAAUUUGCUCAGUGGACACUCCCAAAAUGCAGCACGGACAAGGCUGAACCAGUUUUGGCUUCCUUUGCUGUGUACAAACUCAUGCCAAGCUGUCCCAGCAGGCUCUGAUCCCUCAAAUGUCACAUCCCCUUUUGUUUCAUGCUAUUAAUUUCAGCAGGCUGCAAAAAAAAACCCAACAAACAAAAACCCCCAAAAAACCAAACCACCCCAGCCCUCAGAUUACUUCAGACUGUUGAACUGAAAACCAAAACAUACUGAAGAUAAUAAUUAUGCCUUAUGGUCAUGGCUACAUCAUGUGGGGCCGGAGGAAGUAAGACAGCCAAAGGCUGUGAGCAUGGACCCGGCCAUCCUGCUGUAGAGAAGGCUGGUGCUGAGGAACACAAUGCUGCUGCAGCGCUUGGGCUGGGGUGAGGGUCUGCUCCUUGCCGGGGAGCAGCUUUUGGCAUCAAAGCUGUGGCCACCAUCCAUCUGUGAAGACGUGCCUAGCAGGGGAGAUACCAAGGUUUCUAAAGCCUCUUUGGAAGUAUCUUGCUUCAUUUUGGAAACACUGACAGUAUCUGGCAGGGGCAUGCUCCGCACACAGAGGUGUAUGAAGACCGCUGGUUUGGUGUGGCUCUCAAAGCUCAGGGCUCCCACCAGCGCUUCUCCACUGCCGAAGAAGUACCAAAGCUGACAAGAAACAAAGCAGCUUUGAGGUAAGUAAAUUGACACAUCCUGACCAUUUGUCCUGGUUUCAGCUGGGACAGAGCUAAUUUUCUUCUUGGUAGCUGGUGCAGUGCUGUGUUUUGGCUCUGAUGUGAGAACAAUGUUGAUAGCACACUGAUGCGUUUGGUUGUUGCUGGGUGAUGUUUAUACCGAGUCAAGGGCUUCUUGGUUUCCUGGGCCCUGCCAGCGAGAGGGCUGGAGGGGCACGGGACAUUGGGAGGGGACACAGCCAGGACAGGUGACCUGAACCAGCCAACGAGGUAUGCCAUACCAUGGGACGGCAUGCUGAGCAUAUAAACUGGGGGAAGAAGGAGGAAGCUGGGGACAUCCAGCAUUACGGCAUUUGUCUUCCCCAGUAACCAUUAGGGAGCCCGGCUUCCCUGGGGAUGGCCGGACACCUGCCUGCCCGUGGGCAGCGGUGAAUGGAUUCCUUGCUUUGCUUUGCUUGCGUGCGCGGCUUUUGCUUUCCCUAUUAAAUUGUUCUUACCUCAACCCUUGAGUUUUACAUUCCUUUCCGAUCCUCCUCCCCAUCCCUCUGGGCGAGGGGGAGCGAGCGAGCGGCUGCGUAGGGCUGGGUUGCUGGCCGGGGUUAAACCACGACACCAUUCUCGCUGCUGACAGCUGCCCAGGGUGGGGUUUAACAGAAGAAAGGGCCAGCAGGCAGGGCUUCUGCUCCCGAAUCCUUAGCGUUGAAUUUGAAUGGUUUGCUGCUCCUGCUCUGCAGCGCCCUUGCAGCCCACGCCUGCUCCAGUCCUUCUCUGUCCCUGCACACCAUCCCCGUACCUCUCUCCUCAAUCCCACAUGCUCAUUCUCAGCAGGCUUCUGGCUCAGUGUGCUCGUGAUAUAUCCAAACUGACUGGUUGACCUGGUGGUUUUCCACAUCACUUGUGACCCUGGACUCCUUUCAAACCAGCCCCUUGCUGACAAAAUGUACACAACUGUAUGAGACAAGCUCUUGUUGAUUCUGCAGGAAUUGUAUUUCCUUUCUUUACAGCAUUACGGAAAAAAAAAAAAAAAAUGGAUCAGAGAAGGAACUGUGCAGCUGCAAGCCAGAGGUUUUAAUCCCUCCUCCAUCACUAGCUUGCUGUUAGAUCUCUGCCCUUCGGCAACUCCUCUGUAAUGCUGCCCUCCCCGGAGGAACCAGCAGGCCCGUCUUCCCAGAGCCGCACCACAAGAAAGGACUGCCCGGACUCCACUCUCAUUUUAAAAUGCUUCUUUUUAUUUCAGUGGUUGUACAUUGGGUGAAUGAAUUUAACGUCACAACAGAAAUAGAAUGGCUAUUUAACAGACCACUAGUAGUUAUAUGCUGAAAAAGAGUGAACGGAGGGGUUUCUUUUAACUGUUACUGAAAUAUUCAUCGUACGCGUCGUCAAUUUUGCUGGAUGAGAGAGGCAAACAAAAAGGUAUUUUGGUGAGGUGCUGUAUCCUUUGAAGAAAAUAAGCACUGAGACAUCUCAAGUCACUCGAGACUGUGUCUCAGCUACAGUAUUCACUGUCUCUGUUGGCCCAUCUCAUGGUUCUCUUAGGGGGUUUUAUUUGUUGUUUUUCUUUUUUAAUUAAACAAAGCAUUUAAUCAUUUUCAUUAGACUUUUUUU